AGUCCAGCUCAUCGUCCUGCUCAGCCGGUAGCCAGGAUCAAAAACAUUUCCAGGGAAGAGCGGACGUUUCUGGGACGCAUUACUCCUGAGAAAAGGAUGCUACAGCUGGGCCUGUCCUGGCUGGGACUGGGGCCUGGAGCUGCCUUCCCAUGGCAACUUCUGCAGUUGGUUGGGGCCUCCUUGUUCCUGGCUCGAAUUCUGACCUGGAUUUGUGCCUUCUAUGACAACUACUGCCGUCUCCGCUGCUUCCCCGAGCCCCCUUCGCGGCACUGGUUUUGGGGUCACAUGAGCAUGGUCAAGAACAACGAGGAAGGCCUGCAGUUGUUGACUGAAAGGAGCCACCAAUUCCAUGAUGUCCACCUCUGUUGGAUUGGGCCCUUCUACCCCAUCCUGAGGCUUAUCCACCCCAAGUUUAUUGGCCCCAUACUCCAGGCCUCAGCUGCGGUGGCCCCUAAGGAAAUGAUUUUCUAUGGCUUCCUGAAGCCCUGGCUGGGGGAUGGACUGUUGGUGAGUGCUGGUGAGAAAUGGAGCCGCCACCGCCACCUGCUGACACCUGCAUUCCACUUUGACAUCCUGAAGCCCUAUAUGAAAAAUUUUAAUAAGAGUGUGAACAUCAUGCAUGCCAAGUGGCAGCGUCUGACCACCAAAGGAACUGCCUGUCUGGACAUGUUGGAACACAUCAGUCUGAUGACCUUGGACAGCUUGCAGAACUGUGUGUUCAGCUUUGACAGCAACUGUCAGGAGUCUCCCAGUGAAUAUAUUGCUGCUAUUCAGGAGCUCAGCUCCCUCAUAGUGAAACGGCACCACCAGCCCUUCCUGUACCUUGACUUCCUGUAUUACUGCACUGCUGAUGGGCGGCGCUUCCGCAAGGCCUGCGACCUGGUGCACAACUUCACAGAUGCUGUCAUCAGGGAGAGACGGCGCACUCUCUCCAGCCAAAAUCUUGAUGAGUUCCUGAAGUCGAAGACUAAGUCUAAAACCCUGGACUUCAUCGAUGUGCUCUUAUUGGCCAAGGAUGAACAUGGAAAGGAGCUGUCAGAUGAGGACAUCCGAGCGGAGGCUGACACCUUCAUGUUUGGAGGCCAUGACACCACAGCCAGUGCACUCUCCUGGAUCCUGUACAACCUGGCGAGGCACCCCGAAUACCAGGAGCGCUGCCGGCAGGAGGUUCAAGAGCUGCUGAGGGGCCGAGAGCCCCAGGAGAUUGAAUGGGACGACCUGGCCCAGCUGCCCUUCCUGACCAUGUGCAUCAAGGAGAGUCUGCGGCUGCACCCCCCAGUUACGGUCAUUUCCCGUUGCUGCACCCAAGACGUUGUGCUUCCAGAUGGCCGGGUCAUCCCUAAAGGAACCGACUGUGUCAUCAGCAUCUUCGGGGUUCAUCACAACCCUGAAGUCUGGCCAGACCCUGAGAGACGCGACCCAUAAGCCUAGUCUUGGUUGACCUGCAGGUCUAUGACCCCUUCCGCUUCGACCCAGAAAACCCACAGAAGAGGUCUCCUCUGGCUUUUAUUCCCUUUUCUGCUGGGCCUAGGAACUGCAUAGGACAGACUUUCGCCAUGAGGGAGAUGAAGGUGGCACUGGCGCUGACUCUGCUGCGCUUCCGCGUCCUGCCAGGUGACAAGGAGCCUCGCCGGAAGCCAGAGCUGAUCCUGCGCGCAGAGGGCGGGCUGUGGCUGCGGGUGGAGCCUCUGAGCAAGGGCACUCAGUGACCAGAUCUACUACUGUCCCAGUCACUUUCCUCUGCCAAUCCCAGAGUAAGCGGAGUUUCACCCAGAGCCAUCAGAGGGCGCUGCAGGACAACAGAGGCUGUCUGGAAGCUUGGCUGAGAAGAGACUGGGGCUGCUGUCUGAGUCCAAGGGCCUUUCUGGGUAGCCCACAGGGCCUGCAGACUGAUGAGAGUUCCAUGCACCCCAGCUCAAGAACGGCCUUUAUUCUUUUGGCGAUAAGGAGGCACUAUAGAUGUUUGAGCAGGAGAAAUGCAACGUUUACUGGCCGAUUUGGGGCAGUUUUCUUUUUUCUUUUUUUUUUUCUUUUUUUUUUUUUUUUUUUGAGACAGGGUCUCAGCUUUUAGUGGAUAUAGCAGGCUGGCCUUUAACUUGUAGCAAAUCUCUGUCCUAACCACCAGAGCGGUGCAAUUAGAAAUGGGCCACUGUGCCUGUCAUAUCUGAAGGGCUGUUUAUUAGAAAUGAAGGGCAGCUUCCCAGGGGAGAAGCCUGGGAGCCCCUCCAAAUGAUAUUAAAUGAUGUCCACGGCUUGUGAUGGCUAAGGCCACUGAGGCAGCUUCAAUUUAAAAUGACCUCACGCUGGCAGGCUUCCUGUGUGGUGGUGUCCUUUCAGGUUCUCACUUACUCCUCUUGGGGCUGGGUGGUGGUGGUGGGGUGGCUCCAUGGAGAGACAGGCAGAUCCCAGUGCCUCACUGGCCAGCCUGACUUGCUGAAUCAGAGCUGCAGGUUCAGUAAGAGAUUCUGUCUCAGGAAGUAAAGUGGAUGUGAGUAUGAAGACACCUGACAUAAACCUCUGGCUUCCCCAUGUCUGUAUGUGUCUCAGCACACACACACACACACACACACACACACACACACACACACUCACACACUUAACUUUUCUGACUGUUCUAGGAUUUGAUUUUCUUCCUCCUACCAGGAAGUCAUUGAAACAUUUUCAUGACUUAAAGACUAGUCUGGGCUAUAUAGAAAAUUUGAGACCAGCAUUGAGAGACCUUGUCUCAAAAGUUAAAAACCAGAGUUUUACAUAUUUUUGCUUGUGAGAAAUGACUUUAGAUGGGCUGGAGAGAUGGCUCAUCCGUUAAGAGCAUUGCCUGCUCUUUCAGAGGUCCUGAGUUCAAUUCCCAGCAACCACAGGGUGGCUCACAGCCAUCUCUUAUGGGAUCUGAUACCCUCUUCUAGUGUGUUUGAAGACAAUUACAGUGUACCCAUAUAUAGAAAAUAAAUAAAUCUUUAAAAGAAGAAAAAA